ensembl:lncRNA
UUAUUGGGGCAGUCACGCUAACCACAACGACACAUGCCGUCUCAAUCCCGUGGCCAUGGCAGAUGUUUCUAAAAUGUCUGCCAUGUAGGGUGCCAUGCCAGGGUGUCGGACGGUGCUGACGUCUUUCCAUGAAUGCAGGUUGGUGCAUUGACAGUGCUGCAACCAUUUGAAUGAAAUGAUGAUUUUGGCUAGUCGCAGUAACAUGUGCAAUCUAGUUCUCAUGAACUCCCUGUUGGCCCUUGACGGCACUGAGAACCCUGUAUCCAGGUGUAAGGUGACCUCUUGGAAUCCCGUGGGGAGGUCUAGUUGUGCAUUAGACUGAAAAAUGAAACUGAUCAUAAUGCCAAAGGUACUUUGCGCAUGGACCACUUCAAUGGCCUCUAAAGGCUUCCUAAAUUGUCUUUCCUAGGAGCAAGACUGGGCCAGUGUUGAUCUGCUACACUGGCGUCCUCAAAUCUGGAUCUGGAUCAUCAUGGUAUGUUGACGUUCAUAUCUUAAAACACUCCGUGGCUCUAUAGAAUGAUGUUGUAUUUUACCGCCCCAGUCUGAAGAUUCAUGACUGAUUGGUACACACUCUGAUCCUCCAUAAUGACAGACUUAAGCAGCUGGUUUACUGCGAUAAACAUGAUCACUAAUGGCCCUUUGUUUCCUCCAGUUAUCGGGGCAGUCACGCUAACCACAACGACGGAUGCCGUCUCAAUCCCGUGGCCAUGGCAGAUGUUUCUUAAAUGUCUGCCACGGGCCUUCACCAGGGCGUCGGGACGGUGCUGACGUCUUUCCAUGAAGGCAGGUUGGUGCAUUGACAGUGCUGCAACCAUUUAAAUGAAAUGAUGGAUGUGUUGCUUACAGUAACAUGUGCAAUCUAGUGCCAACCUCCCUGUUGGCCCUUGAUGGCACUGAGAACCCUGUAUCAGGUGUAAGGUGACCUCUUGGAAUCCCGUGGGGAGGUCUAGUUGUGCAUUAGACUGAAAAAUAAAUCUGAUCAUAAUGCCAAAGGUACUUUGCGCAUGGACCACUUCAAUGGCCUCUAAAGGCUUCCUAAAUUGUCUUUUUCUUAGGAGCAAGACGGGUCCAGUGUUGCUCUGCUACACUGGCGUCCUCAAAUCUGGAUCAUCAUGGUGGUCUGUGGAUCCUGUGGGUGCUUCUUACUGGAAGGUCACUGCAGUGCUGCCGGAAGUGUUGUCUACAAAAUGGCCGCCCUCCUUUGUUUGUGCAAAUUCCACAUUGCUUGGCUCAUGGAAUGAUAAUCAAUAAAGCACUUAAUUUUAAACUGGUUCAUGCUUGUCCAUCAAAUCGAUUGUGAAUAAGGUGGACUGAUGUGAUUACUUGUGUCAAACAGUAUUUUGCCCUACCUCUCCAUUAGUUCCUUAUUUGAAACCAUAUUCUACUUAAAUAUUAGGAUGCUUUACUCCCUAACAACUUGCAACUGAGGCAGCUAUAUUGUUGGCUACUCGAAAGGGCCUUAAUCUGCUGGGAGGACUAUAAUGCCGCUUUUCCAACUAAAUUCUUCGGUAACAAACAAAUUAACAUACUUCAUUGUGGGUUGGCAUGCCCAUUUAAACAAGAGGUAAUGAACAAACUUAAAACUUGUUUCCAAGCAAACUCAUUUUCAGCCCCUAACAAGAGAAAGGUGAGGCAGACUGUUGGUUCCGGAUCGUUGCAUUGAAUCUGAAGGUUGCCUCACCAUACCGGGGCUGAAUCCUGGAAAUGGUUAGCAGGUCUA